UCGUCACAUCCCGGGGCUGGAGAAGGUCCCAAGGGUUAGGCUGUUCGCCUAUUAAAGUGGCACGCGAGCUGGGUUCAGAACGUCGUGAGACAGUUCGGUCCCUAUCUGUUGUGGGCGCAGGAGAUUUGCGAGGCCCCGACACUAGUACGAGAGGACCGUGUUGGACAGACCUCCGGUGCACCGGUUGUUCCGCCAGGAGCACAGCCGGGUAGCCGCGUCUGGGCAGGAUAAGUGCUGAAAGCAUCUAAGCACGAAGCCGGCUCCAAGAUUAGAUCUCAUCAAGGGCCGUUGCAGACGACGACGUCGAUAGGCCGCAGGUGUACGCAUGGCGACAUGCUCAGCCGAGCGGUACUAAUUGCCCGAAA
rnacentral:rRNA from 1 species